rnacentral:lncRNA from 1 species
GCUUGCUCUCUUUCUCCCUGCUCCUCCAGGCUUUGAGCCGGCCUGUGACAUGUGCCAUUCAGAUGGUGAAUGGGCAAGACAAAAGAUUUAAGUGCCUUUGAACGGGCAGGUUGGAUAUGGCUUGACUCACCAAGGGUAAAAGAAGCACAGUAAUUGGCAAUCUGUCCCAUCCCUACGAUAAACUACAAGGCACAGACCAUCUUCCAGCUGUUGGAGGCAGCCUGCAGUAUACUGAAAAUGGUCUGGAGUGCCAUAGUAGCAAAGAAAAUGAACCUCCGACCAUACCUGAUGAGAAGAGAAAAGUUGCACUUGCUUGCUGUGUAAGCAUCAUUAUAGAAUAUUGAGA